rnacentral:rRNA from 1 species
UGGGGAAUCUUGCGCAAUGGGCGAAAGCCUGACGCAGCCAUGCCGCGUGAAUGAUGAAGGUCUUAGGAUUGUAAAGUUCUUUAGCCUGUGACGAUGAUGACGGUAACAGGAGAAUAAGCCCCGGCUAACUUCGUGCCAGCAGCCGCGGUAAUACGAAGGGGGCUAGCGUUGUUCGGAAUUACUGGGCGUAAAGCGCGCGUAGGCGGUUUUACAAGCCAGAGGUGAAAUGCCCGAGCUUAACUUGGGAAUUGCCUUUGGAACUGUAUGGCUUUGAGGACGAGAGAGGUGAGUGGAAUUCCCAGUGUAGAGGUGAAAUUCGUAGAUAUUGGGAAGAACACCGGUGGCGAAGGCGGCUCACUGGCUCGUUUCUGACGCUGUAGCGCGAAAGCGUGGGGAUCAAACAGG